AGGGUUGUGAGGUUAAGUGAAUAAGCGUACACGGUGGAUGCCUAGGCAGUCAGAGGCGAUGAAGGACGUGCUAAUCCGCGAAAUGCGCCGGUGAGCUGAUAUGAAGCGCUAUCAGCCGGCG
rnacentral:rRNA from 1 species